rnacentral:lncRNA from 1 species
UGCUUACUAGAAUCAAGUAACAUCAAUAUAUUAAUAAACCAUAAAAUACAUUAAAGUAAAUUAUCAUUAGUCUCAAAAACUUGCUUUAAACACAACUAAUCCAUCCAUUAAACACAAAACAUCAGUAUUAUAGUUAGUCUUAAAACUAACUUUAAACAGAACAUCUACUCCAACUAUUAUGGACAAAAGAUCUACUAUGACCAUUCAAUCGAGUACGAUACAUUUGCAAGCAACUUCAAUGGUUGUUGUUAGGAUUACUUCCACCAAAUGAUCUUCUUACAUCCAUGGGUGAAAUGGAUCAGCUAGCCGCAUCACUUGGCUACAAAAAAAUCAAAAUAAAAUAUAAUUAACAAAAAGCACCUUAACAAUACCUUAAUUAAUAAUCACUUAGCUUCAGUCAAGUAUCAGUAACUUCUAUGAUUCGAAUACAUAGUACGUUUAUUGUUGAAAGUAAAGGUAUCACAACAAAGUUUAGCUCUGCUAAUGGUGGCACUGUAGCCAUCUUUAAUUACUCCGUAUGAACUGAAAGCUAUUGUGUGUUAAAUGAUUCGGUUGCAAAUAGUUUUUCAAACUGAGCACUUAAGAUUUUCUUUAAAUAUUUUACAAACUUUAUGGUUAAUUUUAAGGGGAAUUUUUUAUUUUAAAAAAAAAGAUUUCAUCCAGAACACCAAGAAAGUUUCCUCUAAUCCUAGAAACCACAAUACCAUAAACUGCACAAGACACCUGAAGAAUCAAAUCUGGGAGUAUUGCAUUGAUAGGAAUUUGUAGACAAAGUUACGAAAAGAUGGGUUGGGAAACAGAAGAAAAAUAUAGGACACGAUAACUGCAAAGAUAAUAGACAAAAUGGUGAUUCAAAUCUCAAAAUUGAAGGUCAAAAUCUAGCAACAUCAGAAUCGAGGGAAGGUGGAGGAUUCUGAUGCUUAGUACGUUCAUGUGUUAGGUGAGCUAUACUUAUCAUAGCCACUGAUGACUAUUGGAUGAAAGCCUCAUAUGUUGUUGUAUUGUGUAUAACAUGCAUGUUUAUUGUUCUGAGUUCUGAGGGAAUUAAACUACUAUAUUUCUGGCUCUGUGAUAAAGAAUAAUGACUACAAAUUUAGUUUGCAAUUUUAAUACAUUUCAGUUUUUCAGUACUUACACAUUUGGUAUUAUUCAUAGAAAGCAUAUGUAUUUAUAUCACAGACCAUUCAAGGAAGCAAAUUAAGUUAGCAACAGAACCUUACAAAAACUUAGCUUUUGUAAUUACAUAAGCUACUUAGCUUAUGUGACUUAGCUUUUGAAGAAGAAUCUAAAGCUCAAAACUUUAAAUCAAAACCUCACAAAAACCUAACAUUUGGAGAGAGCAGCAACUAAGCACAAACUGAAAGUGGGAAAAAAAGCACACUGACAACAAAAUGAGAAUGCAUGUGUAGAUAUAGGAGUGAAGAAAGUGAGAAAAAGAGUCAAACACCACAUAGCACAAAAGUUUUCUUCUUUCUUAAUUCAGAGUCACAUUUGGACUGAUUAAGCACACUUUCAAAAUUAAAUAAGAAAGUUAUGAACUUUUCUUACCGUUGAAUGAGGAGGAGAAACAAAGAUCCCUGCAAAUUCUUCAGGUAUCCUCCCUUCUUUCAUUAUCAUAUACGCCUUAAAAGCAUUCAUCAUUU